rnacentral:rRNA from 1 species
ACGGAAAGGCCCUGCUUUUGUGGGGUGCUCGAGUGGCGAACGGGUGAGUAACACGUGAGUAACCUGCCCUUGACUUUGGGAUAACUUCAGGAAACUGGGGCUAAUACCGGAUAGGAGCUCCUGCUGCAUGGUGGGGGUUGGAAAGUUUCGGCGGUUGGGGAUGGACUCGCGGCUUAUCAGCUUGUUGGUGGGGUAGUGGCUUACCAAGGCUUUGACGGGUAGCCGGCCUGAGAGGGUGACCGGCCACAUUGGGACUGAGAUACGGCCCAGACUCCUACGGGAGGCAGCAGUGGGGAAUAUUGCACAAUGGGCGGAAGCCUGAUGCAGCAACGCCGCGUGCGGGAUGACGGCCUUCGGGUUGUAAACCGCUUUCGCCUGUGACGAAGCGUGAGUGACGGUAAUGGGUAAAGAAGCACCGGCUAACUACGUGCCAGCAGCCGCGGUGAUACGUAGGGUGCGAGCGUUGUCCGGAUUUAUUGGGCGUAAAGGGCUCGUAGGUGGUUGAUCGCGUCGGAAGUGUAAUCUUGGGGCUUAACCCUGAGCGUGCUUUCGAUACGGGUUGACUUGAGGAAGGUAGGGGAGAAUGGAAUUCCUGGUGGAGCGGUGGAAUGCGCAGAUAUCAGGAGGAACACCAGUGGCGAAGGCGGUUCUCUGGGCCUUUCCUGACGCUGAGGAGCGAAAGCGUG